rnacentral:rRNA from 1 species
ACGUGAAACCGUUCAGGGGUAAACCUGAGAAACCCAAAAGAUCGAAUGGGGAGAUUCAUCGUCAGCUGCUUUGGCUUACGUGCGGUGUGCGAUGACCGGGGCUUCGGUUCUGUGUCACGCGCCCGCUGCGUUAUGUCCGAAGUGGUCGGCGUGCACUUCUCCCCUAGUAGGACGUCGCGACCCGUUGGGUGCUGGUCUACGGCCUGGUUGUAAGUCUGACGUGUCUCGUUUACGCGUGUCACGCGUCAGACAACUGGAUGCCUGACCGGCUGCCCGGCGGUAUUGAACGAUAAUUAAACGGUAUUGGGCCGCAUCAAGUGCGUUCAGGCCCUUUGGCAGGUUUGCCUCGCUCGGAUUUAUGGACCUAGCGCCAUUGCCGGGUGCUUGGUAGAUUGUUUAGCCGAAGGUGUCCUCGGACUGGCUCUUUAUAUUCGAACGGAUAUACCGGUCGGCGACGCUACUGCUUUGGGUACUUUCAGGACCCGUCUUGAAACACGGACCAAGGAGUCUAACAUGUACGCGAGUCAUUGGGUCAUAUUAAAGCCUAAAGGCGUAAUGAAAGUGAAGGUCGUCCUUAGCGUCGACCGAGGGAGGAUGGCUCGCGUCACGAUGCGAGCCCGCACUCCCGGGGCGUCUCGUGCUCAUUGCGAGCAGAGGCGCACCCAGAGCGUACA